rnacentral:rRNA from 1 species
UACAGAGGUCUCAAGCGUUGUUCGGAUUCAUUGGGCGUAAAGGGUGCGCAGGCGGCGGGGCAAGUCGGACGUGAAAUCUCGGGGCUUAACUCCGAAACUGCAUUCGAUACUGCCGUGCUUGAGGACUGGAGAGGAGACUGGAAUUUACGGUGUAGCGGUGAAAUGCGUAGAUAUCGUAAGGAAGACCAGUGGCGAAGGCGGGUCUCUGGACAGUUCCUGACGCUGAGGCACGAAGGUCAGGGGAGCAAACGGG